GUGAAAUUUAUAUAUUUAUUAAAGAAUAUUUAUUAAUAUAUAAAUAAUAAUAUUUUAUUGGGAUGAUAGGAAAAUUAAAUAAACUUUUUUUAUUUUUAAACAUAGAUUAAUGAUUUAUUGAUCCAUAAAUUGUGAUUAUAAGAUUAAGUUACUUAAGGGAUAACAGCGCAAUCACCCAAGUUACCCUAGGGAUAACAGCGCAAUCAC
rnacentral:rRNA from 1 species